rnacentral:rRNA from 1 species
CCCUUAGAUGUUCUGGGCCGCACGCGCGCUACACUGAUGCAUUCAACAAGCCUAGCCUUGACCGAGAGGUCCGGGUAAUCUUUGAAACUGCAUCGUGAUGGGGCUAGAUUAUUGCAAUUAUUAAUCUUCAACGAGGAAUGCCUAGUAAGCGUGAUUCAUCAAAUCGCGUUGAUUACGUCCCUGCCCUUUGUACACACCGCCCGUCGCUCCUACCGAUUGAAUGUGUUGGUGAGGAGCUCGGAUUGGCAGCAGUUGGUGGUUCGCCACCGGCUAUUGCUGAGAAGUCCUCCAAACCGCCCCAUCUAGAGGAAGGAGAAGUCGUAACA